GCCAGGUCAUGGAAGCCAUAAUCGCCUAAUUUUGGGUACCAUCACUUAUAUAUACACCCCUAUCAUACAACAUCCUUCCAUCGCAUCCCAAUCCACCCUAAUUAGCAUCACAUUGCCAUAUUUCCUUCUGCUCUCUUUUUUAAGCAUACUCAACCAACCACCACUCCAAAAUGGCUGAGGAGAAGCAACACCACCACCUCUUCCACCACCACAAGGAGGAUGAAAAGCCUGUUGACACCUCUGUCUACUCUGAAACUGCUUACUCUGGUGAUAUCUCGGCUGGUUAUGGAGCUGGCCUGGCUGAAACGGGAGUGGAUUACAAGAAGGAAAUGGAAGUGGAUUACAAGAAGGAAGAAAAGCACCACAAGCACCUCGAGCACGCUGGGGAGCUAGGGGCUGCCGCAGCUGGUGCUUUUGCACUGGUAAUGUUUUCUCACGAGUUCAUUUUCUCAUCACUUAAUUAAUUAAGUUAUGCUUAAUUAGCAGUAACAUCUAACCCUUUUAUAGAGCAUCUUCUCUUUGUUAUUGGGGUGUUAGUACGUACAAAAAUAUAACCCUUUUGAUGGCUUUUGGUCAAUCAAUUAAUAAUAGUUACAAUUUUAAAUGUAUACUUCAGCAUGAGAAGCACAAGGCAAAGAAAGAUCCGGAGCAUGCCCAUAGGCACAAGAUAGAAGAGGAAAUGGCAGCAGCCGCAGCAGUGGGAGCCGGGGGGUUUGCAUUCCACGAGCAUCAUGAGAAGAAAGAAACAAAGAAAGAAGAGGAGGAGGCUCAUGGAAAGAGGCACCAUCACCUCUUCUGAUUUACUGAUACUUUCCUUCUUCUUUACGUCAUUCCGUGUGUUGUGUUUGUCACCAGUGAGCAACUACACUUAAUAAACACUGUUGGAGUGGGCUUCGUCUAUGUAUUGUAAUCGCUUUCUGCAGUCAUUGUGUGUCCCUAUUAGAUCAUGGUGUCGGCCUUUCUCAGUCUCUAUCUGUUUAUAAUAAUAUUUUCGGCCGUGUUUUUGCGAUUUUUUUCACUACUACGGAAUCUUCUGUAAGGUAUAUUAUCUAAUUAAGUUUCUUCUUUUUUAC
rnacentral:lncRNA from 1 species